GCAUAAAAAGGACUCAAGGGAAACUCAUUUGAGGGACGACGGGAAUCCUUCUUCUCUUGGGGGCUUGGGCAGAGCCAACGGACAGAAAACAAAUUUUGCAGAGACACUGGUCCUUUGAUCAAAGAAAGCUUGAAGGAGGUAAAAACAACAAACAAAUAAACGGUUGAGGCUUAGGAAUUUAUUCAAAGCUUUAGCCAAGAAACUCCCCUUUCAUUGAGAUACAUGACAUGGUCGCAAUUGCCAGACAUUUGAAUGUGACGCUUAUAGUUCCUGAGUUGGAUAAAACUUCUUUCUGGGCAGAUCCAAGUGAGUUUCAAGACAUA